rnacentral:rRNA from 1 species
UACGUAGGUCCCGAGCGUUGUCCGGAUUUAUUGGGCGUAAAGCGAGCGCAGGUGGUUUAUUAAGUCUGGUGUAAAAGGCAGUGGCUCAACCAUUGUAUGCAUUGGAAACUGGUAGACUUGAGUGCAGGAGAGGAGGGUGGAAUUCCAUGUGUAGCGGUGAAAUGCGUAGAUAUAUGGAGGAACACCGGUGGCGAAAGCGGCUCUCUGGCCUGUAACUGACACUGGGGCUCGAAAGCGUGGGGAGCAAACAGG